UAGGGAAUAUUGGACAAUGGGGGCAACCCUGAUCCAGCCAUGCCGCGUGAGUGAAGAAGGCCCUCGGGUUGUAAAGCUCUUUUGUCCGGAAAGAAAAGCAUUCGGUGAAUACCCGGAUGUUCUGACGGUACCGGAAGAAUAAGCACCGGCUAACUUCGUGCCAGCAGCCGCGGUAAUACGAAGGGUGCAAGCGUUACUCGGAAUUACUGGGCGUAAAGCGUGCGUAGGUGGUUGUUUAAGUCUGAUGUGAAAGCCCUGGGCUCAACCUGGGAAUGGCAUUGGAAACUGGGCAGCUAGAGUGCGGUAGAGGGUAGUGGAAUUCCCGGUGUAGCAGUGAAAUGCGUAGAGAUCGGGAGGAAUAUCUGUGGCGAAGGCGACUGCCUGGACCAGCACUGACACUGAGGCACGAAAGCGUGGGGAGCAAACA
rnacentral:rRNA from 1 species